rnacentral:rRNA from 1 species
GAUGAACGCUGGCGGCAUGCCUAACACAUGCAAGUCGAUCGGUAAGGCUCUUCGGAGUACACGAGAGGCGGACGGCUGAGUAACGCGUAGGAACACACCCUGCAGUGAGGGAUAAGACACCGAAAGGUGUUCUAAUACCGCAUACGGUCUUCGGAUUAAAGCAUUUAUGCGCUGAAGGAGUGGCCUGCGUCAUAUUAGAUAGAUGGUGAGGUAAUGGCUCACCAAGUCGAUGAUGUGUAGCUGGUCUGAGAGGAUGAUCAGCCAGACUGGAACUGAGACACGGUCCAGACUCCUACGGGAAGCAGCAGUGAGGAAUAUUUCACAAUGAGCGAAAGCUUGAUGGAGCAAUGCCGCGUGCAGGAUGAAGGCCCUCGGGUUGUAAACUGCUUUUAUAAGAGAAGAUUAUGACGGUAACUUAUGAAUAAGGGACGGCUAACUACGUG